GAUGAAGAACGUAGCGAAAUGCGAUACUUGGUGUGAAUUGCAGAAUCCCGUGAACCAUCGAGUCUUUGAACGCAAGUUGCGCCCGAAGCCAUUAGGCCGAGGGCACGCCUGCCUGGGCGUCACACGUCGUUGCCCCCCCAUCUACUCCUUCGGGAUUGCGGGGGGCGGAUGAUGGCCUCCCGUGCGCCUCGUCGCGCGGUUGGCCUAAAUGCCAAGUCCUCGGCGACGCACGCCACGACAAUCGGUGGUUGCGAAACCUCGGUUGCCGGUCGUGUGCGGUCGUCGCGCAUCGAGGGCUCGAAAAAAUUGCCGGGCUUCGGCUCGACUUUCAACGCGACCCCAGGUCAGGCGGGGUUACCCGCUGAAUUUAAGCAUAUCAAUAAGCGGAGGA
rnacentral:misc_RNA from 1 species